rnacentral:rRNA from 1 species
GAUGAACGCUGGCGGCGUGCUUAACACAUGCAAGUCGAAUGACGAUUUAGUAACUGAGUGGCGGACGGGUGAGUAACGCGUGGGUAACCUGCCUUAUACAGGGGGAUAACAGUUAGAAAUGACUGCUAAUACCGCAUAAGCGCACAGGAUUGCAUGAUCUAGUGUGAAAAACUCCGGUGGUAUAAGAUGGACCCGCGUCUGAUUAGCUGGUUGGUGAGGUAACGGCCCACCAAGGCGACGAUCAGUAGCCGACCUGAGAGGGUGACCGGCCACAUUGGGACUGAGACACGGCCCAAACUCCUACGGGAGGCAGCAGUGGGGAAUAUUGCACAAUGGGGGAAACCCUGAUGCAGCGACGCCGCGUGAGCGAAGAAGUAUUUCGGUAUGUAAAGCUCUAUCAGCAGGGAAGAAAAAAUGACGGUACCUGACUAAGAAGCCCCGGCUAGCUACGUG